AUGGCAAAGUCUGUGCUAAAUGUAAAGGGCAGAAUCCUUUUGCCAAGCAAUGCUUUUUCGAAAGGCGGACAAAGUCAAAGAGAGCGUGUGCAUGCAGUGGAAGAAACAUCCCUCAGUGACACAUUCUUUGUUGGAAUGGUGCAGCAGGCCGAUAUCAGUCAAGAAAGAAUGGAACCGACUGAUAUGUAUUGUGUUUCACGGGACAAGUGGAUGACUGCUCUGGAAAUAAAUGGAGUAACAGUAUCACUCAAGCUAGACACGGGAGCAAAAGUAAAUCUGAUUUCUGAGUAUGAUGUCAGAGCAAUGAAGAUCAAGCCGCGCAUAAGUCAGAAAUUUGUGCAACUCAAAGCUUAUAAUGGCCACAACAUUCCAAUAAAAGGAACAUGUACUCUCAGAGUAAAGGUUAAAGACAGAGAACAUUACCUCAUGUUCGUGGUUGUUCCAGAUGGCCAUGAUUCCGUGUUGGGAGACAAGGCAUGUGAAGACCUGGGUCUAGUAAGAAGAAUAUACACCAUAAAUAAUGGAGAAACACAGAUCAGUGUGGAACAUAAUGUGAAACAGUUUCCAGACAUCUUUGAAGGGUUUGGAGUAUUACCAUUCACCUACAAAAUACAGUUAAAAAAAGAUGCACAGCCAGUAGUUCACGCACCAAGACGGGUUCCAGCACCACUUCGUGAAAAGCUGAGGCAAGAGCUGGAUAAAAUGGGAGUCAUAGGAAAAGUGGAAGAGCCUACAGAGUGGGUUAAUUCAAUGGUGUGUGUGAAGAAAGCCAAUGGUGAUCUGUGUAUUUGUAUGGAUUUAAAGGACUUAAAUGCAAACAUACAGAGAGAACAUUAUCAAAUUCCGACACGUGAGGAAAUUCCAAGUGAGAUGGCAGGUGCUAAGUUCUUUACGAGGCUGGAUGCAUCCAAGGGCUUUUGGCAGCUGAAACCACAUGAGGAACAGCACAAAGUACUGCACAUUCAACACACCCUUUGGCCGCUACUCCUUCUUGAGGAUGCCGUUCGGAAUUUCCUCAGCUCCUGA
rnacentral:lncRNA from 1 species